GUACUUGCACAUGCUUGGAGUUGUUUACCGUGAUUUAAAACCAGAAAAUAUCCUGGUGCGAGAAGAUGGGCACAUCAUGCUCUCAGAUUUUGACUUGUCACUAAGGUGUACCGUUAAUCCAAUUGUGGUUCAGUCAUCUUCACCAGUUGCAGAGCCCACAAAAAAGAUGUCAAGUCCUUGCUCUGAAGCUAGCUGUAUUGACCCUUUCUGUCUCCACCCAGCAUGGCAAGUUUCAUGUUUCACUCCUCGACUUCUAUCAGUAGCUGCAAAAUCUCGCAAGUUAAAAUCUGACCUGGCUGCUCAGGUCAACCCCCUGCCACAGCUGGUAGUGGAGCCAACUAAUGCCCGAUCUAAUUCCUUUGUCGGAACUCAUGAAUACCUUGCUCCAGAGAUCAUCAAAGGCGAGGGUCAUGGCAGCGCUGUUGAUUGGUGGACAUUUGGAAUCUUCCUGUUUGAGCUGUUGUAUGGCAGGACACCCUUCAAAGGUUCAGGAAAUGAGGAAACGUUGUCAAAUGUGGUGUCACGAACCCUCAAGUUUCCAAGUAGCCCUAUAGUCGGUUUUCAUGCGCGUGAUUUGAUUAGAGGUUUGUUGAUAAAGGAACCUGAAAAUCGAUUAGGAUCUGCAAAAGGAGCUGCAGAGAUCAAACAGCACCCCUUCUUCGAAGGCCUUAAUUGGGCGCUUAUACGAUGUGCAAUACCACCAGAGAUGCCGAAGUUUGGUGAUUCUGGAAUUGGCGCAUCUGCUACUUUUCCUCAGAACAAGGAGAGCACGAAAUGUAAGGAAUCAAAGGGUACAGAAGAAUAUACAGAGUUUGAGAUGUUUUAGAGUGGGAAAGGAAGAUGUUUGGUUUUCUUUUUCAGAAUUACAUUUACCCUUGUUGUAACUGAUAUGUAUCUAUAGCAUAUAGUGUAAAUGUAAUUCUGAAAAUUGGCGGCA
rnacentral:misc_RNA from 1 species